ACAGUACCGGGUGGCCCAAAAAAAAGUACUCCUGUUUGAUUCGUAAUAACAUCUAAACAAGUAUAGCUUUUAAAGAGAAAUAACUUGCAUCAAAUAGAGGAAGGACCAACUUAGACUUUGAUAUAUUACAGUUGUAUUUCACUUAAAAAUUCACGGAGAUAUUAAUCUUUAAAUUCGGGAGGAUAUUUCUGGAUGUGUCUGAAAUAUGCAAAAUCGGCGUAUCAAAUAUUAAUCAAGAUUUGCCCGACUGAAACAUGCACUAUUACCAGUAAAUAAAUGACACUUGACAAAUUGUUUAUUAUGAAACAAAGUAUUAUUAUAUCUACAAAAUACAAGCAAGAUUCAUUCGUCCGAAAUUCGCGUGUGUUCCUAGCACGAAUACGUUUCCUUAUUUCAUGAGACCACUGCAUCGUGAAGGAUCGUCAUUGGAUCGUUCGUAGUUCUGAAUUAGGGCAUGCUGUCACAACGGAAUUGUGAAGCUCUUCUAACUUCUGCAACGUUCUGAAAUCUUGUUAAGAACACCCAAACUCUCUUGCCGUUUCUUAAUCUUGGCAAGUUCAUGGAGUAAACUGAGAAUUAUAUGAAACACAAUCAAACCAUACAACUCCAUAAGACAUAACAAUUAAGCAACUCCCCAGAGACAUGCAACAUUUUUGGAACAAAACGUAACAACAUAGUAGCGUUGAUACGGUGAUGUGUAUUUGCAAAAAGCAAUAUUAUUUCCUUCAAUAAAGAAUAUUCAUCCUGCUCUAACCGAGAAAUAAUCUACUCAGUCUGUUUGAACCCAUUAAAAACAUAAAAAAAUUAGGCUAUUUAAUAAUACGAAAAAUUUAAGCGCCUGCCUUCCAUGGUCAGUCUUUCAUGUACAUUUAAGUUUGCA